CCUCUCAACUCACAAACCCACAACAAAGGAAAACAAAAAAAACAAACUCACGUACUCUUUCACGUACCCCUUCACGUGAAACCCAAACCCUCCCCCUUGCUCCAGCAGCCGCAUCAACCGGACUGCCGCUGCUCCACCACACGAUCGUCCGGUAAGUCCUCCACCGUCGGUUCGUUUCUCCGUCGUCCGCCACCACCGCGAGUUCCUCGCCACCACCAUUGACCGCCUCCGACCUGGUUGCUGCCGUGCCCAGCCGCCGGCCAACCUUGCUUCUCCUUUCUCCUUCGUGAACCAGCACUCCCCUCUUCUUUGUUUCUUGCUCAAAUGCGCAACCAACACGUCGCCAGCUGCAGCCACCACCUGCGCCCAGCCGCGUCGGCCCAUCCCCCGCAACCACCGUAGCUGCGCGCCACCUUGGCCGCCGACAACUCCUUCCUCUCUUCUUCUUUGGCGGAGAAUUCUAUGUAGGCGACUUUUGAAAGGGUUAAAGUGGCCUAUCAAUUUGUUUACACAAGUCUCUAAGGAUCAAUAAGCAUUGUCCAUCUGCAGGUUUGAAGAUGUUGCAGCAUUUGGAUCGGGAAUAGAGAGCUUGUAUUUAGUUUUGAUUUGCUAAGUUGACUUGGGUUUGUUUAAUUGGACUUUAAACUUGUUUAAUUGAUAUUAUUUUCGUUGAUUGGUUUUGGGAUUAACUAUGUAGUUGAUUAUUUAUAAACCUAAAGUUAUUUUUAA